AACGCACAUUGCGCCCCUUGGUAUUCCAUGGGGCAUGCCUGUUCGAGCGUCAUUUGUACCUUCAAGCAAUGCUUGGUGUUGGGUGCUUGUCCGCCAGCGGACUCACCUAAAAGCUAUUGGCAGCCGCCGCAUAGGCAGCAGAGCGCAGCACAUUACCGCGUCUCUGCCCUCCGCGACGGCAUCCACAAGCCCUUUUCAACGUUUGACCUCGGAUCAGGUAGGGAUACCCGCUGAACUUAA
rnacentral:misc_RNA from 1 species